rnacentral:rRNA from 1 species
CAGCAGCCACGGGAAUACGUAGGGUGCAAGCGUUAAUCGGAAUUACUGGGCGUAAAGCGUGCGCAGGCGGUUAUAUAAGACAGAUGUGAAAUCCCCGGGCUCAACCUGGGAACUGCAUUUGUGACUGUAUAGCUAGAGUACGGCAGAGGGGGAUGGAAUUCCGCGUGUAGCAGUGAAAUGCGUAGAUAUGCGGAGGAACACCGAUGGCGAAGGCAAUCCCCUGGGCCUGUACUGACGCUCAUGCACGAAAGCGUGGGGAGCAAACAGGAUUAGAUACCCGGUAGUCCCUGUCUCUUAUACA